rnacentral:rRNA from 1 species
AACGAACGCUGGCGGCAGGCCUAACACAUGCAAGUCGAACGGGAUCUUCGGAUCUAGUGGCGGACGGGUGAGUAACGCGUGGGAACGUGCCCUUUGGUUCGGAAUAGCCCCGGGAAACUGGGAGUAAUACCGGAUAAGCUCUUCGGAGGAAAGAUUUAUCGCCAAAGGAUCGGCCCGCGUUGGAUUAGGUAGUUGGUGGGGUAAUGGCCUACCAAGCCGACGAUCCAUAGCUGGUUUGAGAGGAUGAUCAGCCACACUGGGACUGAGACACGGCCCAGACUCCUACGGGAGGCAGCAGUGGGGAAUCUUAGACAAUGGGGGAAACCCUGAUCUAGCCAUGCCGCGUGAGCGAUGAAGGCCUUAGGGUUGUAAAGCUCUUUCAGUGGGGAAGAUAAUGACGGUACCCAC